AUUGAACGCUGGCGGCAUGCCUUACACAUGCAAGUCGAACGGUAACGGGCCUUCGGGUGCCGACGAGUGGCGAACGGGUGAGUAAUACAUCGGAACGUGCCCGAUCGUGGGGGAUAACGAGGCGAAAGCUUUGCUAAUACCGCAUACGAUCUACGGAUGAAAGCAGGGGACCGCAAGGCCUUGCGCGGACGGAGCGGCCGAUGGCAGAUUAGGUAGUUGGUGGGAUAAAAGCUUACCAAGCCGACGAUCUGUAGCUGGUCUGAGAGGAUGAUCAGCCACACUGGGACUGAGACACGGCCCAGACUCCUACGGGAGGCAGCAGUGGGGAAUUUUGGACAAUGGGCGCAAGCCUGAUCCAGCCAUGCCGCGUGCAGGCUGAAGGCCUUCGGGUUGUAAACUGCUUUUGUACGGAACGAAAAGCCUUCUUUUAAUACAGGAGGGUCAUGACGGUACCGUAAGAAUAAGCACCGGCUAACUACGUG
rnacentral:rRNA from 1 species